rnacentral:misc_RNA from 1 species
AACAUCGCGCACCUGCGGGAACCUGCGGAGGGAUCAUUACUGAGUUGCAAAACUCCCAAACCACUGUGAAAACACCACUGUUGCUUCGGCGCGGCCGCCCCCGCCGUCGACGUCCCAGGCGUCGCGGCGGAUCCUGGCGCCCGCCGAGGGCCCCCAAACUCUGUAUUCGCGGAUUUUCUGGGUAUUCCAAAAAUGAAUUAAAACUUUCAGCAACGGAUCU